rfam:Bacillus sp. NRRL B-14911 1099999053133, whole genome shotgun sequence.
UCCAUGGCGACGUGGAAUCUGAAGGAAGCCCUAGGCAAAUCCUCGGUCUGAGGUACACGAAUCACAUUUGAGGUGGACUGUUUCAGGACGAGUUUGCAAAACAAAACAAAGUCCAAAAUAUCCCCGGAUGGAACAGACAUAAAUGUGGCAGAUAUAUGAGGAGAAAGUGGAUGAA